ACUUCUUAUAAGCUUCCAAACAAUUUCAAUAUGUACACAAAUACAUCAACAUGAACACGCAUUAAUUGAACAUUUGGCCAACCUCUCCUAUGAGCAAACAAAAACUACUAAAUUAACAAAUAACUCACAAAUAAAUACACAAACAAUACAAUGUUCAUUCAAACCUGAGUAUUUAUGUCUAAAAACAUCCAAGGAGCUUCUUUGGAGCAGUUCCAGUGGCACGAUACUUUGCUGCGAUCUCCUCUGCCUUCAGAAGAUCUUCCCCACGUUUAGCUUCAAUCAUUGCCCUUUUUUCAUCUGCUGCCUUGUGAAUUAGUGCUAUUUUAUUUUUCAUUUUUUCCACAUAAUCUGCCUUCUUCUUCUCCAAUUUUUCCUGCUCAUAUGCAAGUACGAUUUCAAAAAAACCAAUGUCAAGUUCAAUUUAAUUUUAUAACAUAACAGCCUUUUUCUGUACUGAAUAUAAUAAAUAUUUAGUAGCUCCAGUAUUAAUCUGGAUAUAGAAUUCAUUUGAGUAGGAGUCAAAUUGUAGAAGUUGGUGACUUCAACUUAGUGACUGUUCAGUUGAAUGAAAGUAAUAGACAAGCGGAGCGCUGUGAAGUCAAACAAUGGAACAGUUUGGUUAACAUGCGAAGUGACGGUUACUUCAUAUAUAAAAGGAUUCAAAGGGAACACUUUGAUAAAUGACAGAAAGUUAUAAAAGUAGCCAACUGAAAUUUAAAGCUCAAAUAUUGCUACCUCAAUUUGCUUCAACUCAGCCUCCACAGACGCUUUCCUGCUGUUCUCCCAUGACACGACGGAGGAUAGCUUUUUGUGAGCUCUGCUCAUUAGAUUUAGCAAGCUCAGUCAAGUAAUCACUAUCUUCAUCAAAAGUCAAAAACUCAAAAUCAAGCAUCUCACUAGAAUUGAAAAAAGAACAGCAGACCAUGAUUAUAGAGCUAAGGGACAUUCUUUGAGCUAAAAAUAGGGACAACCUAUAGAAGAGAGCACCACAUUUAAGAAUCAUAGCUUAAUAGUAGUGUUGAAUCUUUCAACAUGGUGCAUUUGACAAAUCAUUUUAGUAUGUGUUAAUAUCCCACAUUAAUUUUGGAUAGGGUUAGCACUCUUGCCUCUUGAUCUAACUUUUGGGCGGCUCAUUUUUUAAGAUGGUAUUAUAGUCUCCCAAACAAUAUUUAGGCCUCCCAUGUGUUUUAACAUUCUAAGUGUUUAAUCUGAGCAUGGGGUGUGUCAAUAUCCCUUAUAAGGCCUCGGGCAAUCCUUCGCCUAAUUUAGGCUUGGUCCAUUUUUUAAAGAGUAUGCACAUGCUGCUUGUAGGGCCAUCAAAAUGGAACAGAUAACUAGGAAAAAUAGAAUUAUUGUUUGGUGGGCUCAUGGACUCAUGCUCUUUAUGCUUUCUGAAGAUAAAAACCAUUCAUGGGCGCCAGUGAAGUGAUGACACAAAUGGACCAUCUAGAAACCCGACAAUUGCUAGAAAUAAUUACUAGAGAACCCUUACUUGUUCUCUGCUUUGCUCUUUUCACUCUCUUCCCAUGCUUUAAUAAGUGACAUUCUUUUCUCUGUUUCAACCCUCGCAAGCACGGCAUCUACACAAAACAGAAGCUAGUUACUUAACUACUAAUAAACAAUAGCAGACAUUUAAAAGUGGAGAAGAAAAAAGAGUGAGAAGGGAAAGAAUCGAGCUAAUGUUAACAAUAGCAGCAGCACCUCGAUUCACAGAACCCUCAGUACUUUUAGCCUCAGCAGACUCCGGAGCCUCUGCCACAAGCAGAAAAAUCAAACAUGAAGGUAAUAUGGACAAGAGUCUUCACUGUUAAGUGCCUUACUCUGUCCCACAUUUCCCAACUCCUUGGCUAUGCAAUUGCGUUCAACAACAUAAACACAUUCAAACUCAAACAUGUUUUGCAUCACCAGAAACAUGGAAAUGGAAUUAACACUGUUGAGCUAAAACAUAUUUCAUGAGUAACACAAAUCUGGUCCUUACAAUAAUUCUAUCAAGAGAUAGCCAUGUCUAAUUCUGGCUAGCUCAAAAUUUAUGACAAGUAUUCGAUAGAGGUCAGAUAGUCGCAUAAUAUUCAUGGCAAUUCCAAUAUUAAAAUGACCAUGCAAUGAUCUAAAUGUAACCCAAAAGCCAAGAUUUUAGAAGAUAGGAUGGAGAUUCAUAAAUAAUCAAACAAGUGAUUGGCCAUUUUAAUGAAUAAUAGAUAAAAAUUAGUUCCUGAAAUUAGAGAAAUCUAAACUGAAGUUUUGUUGCUUGGUAAAAUCUAAGCUUUUGAAAAGAUUGCUGAGAAAAAUACUUAAAUUUGAUAUACUUUAAUUACAACAACGUUAAAAUAGUUAAAUAAUAUUUUCAAAUUAUAUUUUUAAAAUGACAAUUAAAAUAAUGUCUUUCGAAAAAGCAAAUUUCAACCACAAUUCAAACUGAUUCUAACACCCAAAAGAAAAAAAGUUCAGAUAUUUAAGUUAGAUAGUAUUUUUGGUUAUUUUUCCUCUGAAGCUAAGUGAAGUGUGAAGAUAUAUGACAAUUUUAUAUAUCAGAAAAAAAAAAAGAAAGGGCUUUUUUUUUCCAUUUUAAAGAUUCCAAAGAAAUUCAUCCAAUGAUGAUUUAAUAAUUUGAAACAAACAGAUCCUCACAAAAUAAAUAUAAAUAAAAACAAUAUCACUGCACAGAUGCAAAAACAACAAUUUAAUAAUCUAUAUACUAUUCUGAAAUUAAAAAAUCUUUCUUCAUCUGUAUUUUGUAAUUCAAUUAUUCUGAACUUUCGAGAGAGAGAUAAAAAUUACCUAAUUGAAAAGCAAUUCUCUUAAUAUUUUCAACCCAACAAUAAAAAAAAGCAAUUCUCUCAAUUAAAUGUUUCAAAAAGAGUAAAGUAUGCUCAUCAGCCAAACAGACGUUAAAGUUAAAGCCAAGGAAGGAGAAAGCAGGUAAAAGUAACUGAUACAGAGAAAAUACUUACUUUCAACAGCAACAAGCGCUUGGGACUCAUCGCCCUUCUUUUCCGGAGGCGGAGGAAUCACAGAUUUCUCCUCAGCCACGUCUUUAGGAGGUUCAACAGCUUCAGGUACAGGAGCAGGAGGUGGAGGUUCCGAGGGGGUUUCUGAUUCCACCUUCUUAGGCUCCUCCUCGGCCAUAUUGGUUCCAAAUAUGGAAACUGAAGGUAGAAAGUAGGAAAAGAUGGAAAUAGAAAUUGCUAAAUAUUGAAAA
rnacentral:misc_RNA from 1 species